GACGAACGCUGGCGGCGUGCUUAACACAUGCAAGUCGAACGGAAAGGCCCUGCUUUUGUGGGGUGCUCGAGUGGCGAACGGGUGAGUAACACGUGAGUAACCUGCCCUUGACUUUGGGAUAACUUCAGGAAACUGGGGCUAAUACCGGAUAGGAGCUCCUGUUGCAUGGUGGGGGUUGGAAAGUUUCGGCGGUUGGGGAUGGACUGGCGGCUUAUCAGCUUGUUGGUGGGGUAGUGGCUUACCAAGGCAUUGACUGGUACCCGGCAUGAGAGCGUGACCGGCCACAUGAGGACUAAGAUACGCCCCAGACUCCUACGGGGGACAGCAGUGGAGAGUAUUACACAAUGGUCGGAAGCCGGAUACGGCGACGCCGCGUGCGGGAAGCCGGCCUUCGGGGUGUGAACCGCUUUCGCCUGUGACGAAGCGUUAGUGACGGUAAUGGGUAAAGAAGCACCGGCUAACUACGUG
rnacentral:rRNA from 1 species